GCCUGUGUGGUAUAGUGGUUUGAAUGCUGGACUAUGACUCUGGAAACCAGGGUCCAAGUCUCGGCUUGGCCA